CUGAGCAAGGCCAGGGAUCGAACCCGCAACCUCAUGCUUCCUAGAAGGAUUCGUUUCCGCUGCACCACAACAGGAGCUCCAUAAUCUCAUUUUUCUUCCAGAAGGCCUUUCCUGGUGUUCCUCAAUUUCCCCAUCAUCAAGGUGGCAAAGUGCCUCUUCUCUGGGAUUCCUUAGAACCCAAGGCUUCCAUCUCAGAUGGUGCUCACAGCUUAUUAUUUAUCAUGUGUUCACCCGUUUCCUGUCGCGAAGCAGAGAAGCCCUGGUAGGCAGAUGUCCACAGCCUACCCCCUGGUGUUAGGCUUGUGAACAUGUUGCUUCAUGGCACAAGGGACUUUGCAGGUGUAAUUAAGGUUAGUAAUCAGUGGGCCAAUCUAGGGAGAUUAUCCUGGAUUGUAUAGAGAACUUUCUUGGAAUUGGAUCAGAGAGAUACCUCCCGAGAAGAGUCAGAGAGAUCAAGAGAGAGAAGGACUCGGUGUGUGGCUGAUCCUGGCUUAAAUGUGGGAGCCCGCAUGCCUCUAGUUGCUAUGGGUGCCCCCAAGCUGGCUGCUGGCAAAGAAAUGGAGGCUCAGUCCUACAACCACAGGGAACUAAAUUUGGCCAAAUCGGUUUUUUUUUAUUAUUAUUAUUUUAUCAAGUAUAGUUGAUUUACAGUGUAAUAUUAGUUUGAGGCAUACAACAUAGUGAUUCGCUAUUUUUAUAGGUUAUACUCCUUGUACAGUUAUGAUGAAAUAGUGGCUAUUUUCCCUGUGCUGUACAUCGCAUCCUGUAUCUUAUUUCUUAUGUCUUUUACACUUGUUUGUACUUCUUAAUCCCCUUCCCCUUUUUGACCCUCCCCUCUGGUAAACAGUAGUUUGUUCCCUGUAUCUGUGAGUCUGCAUCUGUUGUUACAUUAGUUCACUAGUUUUAUUUUUUAGACUCCACAUAUCAGUGAAAAUGUACAGUAUUUGCCUCUUUCUAACUUAUUUCAUAAAGCAUAAAUACCCUUUGGGUGCAUCCAUCUUGUUGCAAAUGGCUAAAUUCCAUUCCCUUUUUUGACUGAGUAAUAUUUCAUUGUGUGUGUCUGUGUACAUGCAUGUGUGUGUGUGUGUAUCACAAUUUUUUUUUUGGCUUUGCCUGUGAUAUGUGGAAGUCCCUGGGCCAGGAACUGAAUCCAAGCCACAGCUGCGACCUGUGCCACAGCUGCCACAACACUGGCUCCUUACCCCACUGCACCACAGUGGGAACUCCAUGUAUCAUUUUUAUCCAUUCAUCUGUUGAUGCAGACACCAUGGCUUCCAAGUCUCCUUUUAAACGGCUGAGUUUGUGGUGGUUUGUUCAGACAGCUGUAGGAAACGAAUACAGAACCACAGUGGUUGAAAACCCAAGUUCUAGGCCCCUCUUUUCUGACGUCCAGAAUCCUCUUCCAGGGACCCUCAAGUCGUACGUAGUGUCCCUUUCGCCGUGUCCCAGCCCAGCUUCUGGCUCUCCUGAAUGAGGCCAUGCCGUGCCAGCUCUCCUACUGUCUCUAGUCACCAUUUGGUGGGUCUGACUGUCACCACGCGGAGCUCAGCUCUCGAUGUCAGGCCCCCUGGGGUACUGCGGUAGCUUCCCAACGCCAGGCCCUGCCUCUUCCCAGCCACUCUCCUCCCGGCCGCCCUCCAUGCUGCUGCCAGCUGCCUCUUCCUGCAGCACAGCUUGGCUUGCAUCACUCACCCCUGCAAGGUCAUCCAUGGGUUUCCUGUUCCCGCUGACUCCGAGGAGUUCACAGUCCCCAGCCAGGACGGAAGCAGGCCUCUCCAGCCUGGUCUCCCUCCCUCUGUGCAUUUGCCUUCUGCUCAUGCCCCCUUGCAAGCCUGAGCUUCCCUGGCCCCACGUCUCACGGGUCAUCCCUAUAGGGGCCGUCGUCUUGGCCCUGGAGCCGUCAUGGAAUCCCCAAAGGUAGUGCCGUUUAGGAUGUGUGAGGUACCGGGGCCCCUGCCCCCUCAGACAGCACGUGCUUUUGAAAGACCAUUCUCCCAGUCCUUCCCCAGUGCCCCAUGCCGGGCCAGAGACAUGAUGCCACCCUUCACACAUGCUCACUACCUGGUCGGGUGGGGUCCAGAAUCAAGAAGAAAGGCAAUGGAACCCUGAAGGCCUGUCCACCGUGUUGGGCCAGUUGCCUAUAGUUGCUCCUUAAACUACCCCUUAAAUGAAUAAUGCCAUGGCCUCAUUUUGCACUGCCUUAAAACGGAUGCCUCUUAGCUCUUGAAACGUGAAGUAUUUUUAGUGCACUCUGCCAGCAACGGCAUUUCCAUUUGUAGCGCUGCUUAUAUUGAGUUCAAAGAUGGGCCAAACAUUGGUGAAUGAUAUUUUACUAUUUAGGACAUAGUAUGACUAUCAUCAAUUUUAUAAUAAUCGCUAACAGGUAUUGACAUCGCUAACAUCAAUCACCGUUAAUGCUUAGGUCAUUGAACAUUUGCAGAAAUGCACUGAAGUUGGGACUAUAGUGUCUCCAUUUUCUGGAUGAGGAAACCAGGGCACAGAGAGGUUAUGUGAUUUAUCCAGGGUCACACAGUUAGUUCAGAGUAGAGCCCAAUUCCCCACCUAGGUGGUUUGGCUCUAGAACCUGCAGCAUCAUGUCCCAUAAUCUGUACCACCUCCCUCUACAUGCACCAUUUUGUCCCCCUCAUCAGAGGGAGAAGGAUUCUUUGUCCCUGCGUGAACGUGAUGAACACUAUUGCUACACUUUGUUUUUUUGUUGCUAUUUAAACUUCACAGGCACGUGGUCCUUGUGGCAAAGAUGAUUCCCGGUUUCAUAGAUGUGUCCCAAGUGCAAUGACCAAGUCCAAGGUCACAAUCCCAUUGCACCCCACUGGGUGCAAUUGACUUAUGUCCCAGCACUCCUUGUCCCCUGGCUGGAAUCUCUUCUUCCACAGGGAGCCCCUGACCCGGCCCCACCCUGCUCUAAAUGCUGCUCUUCCCACACCAGGCAGACCACACUUGAGAUGUUUGCACCAGCCUGAGUUGGAAAUGAUGUUUUCUUCAGAAUUUCAUUUUUGGCCUGUGGAUUUUCCAUUUGUGAGUUCUUAUCCUCUGUUGCGAUAGGAAGGCCUCUUUUCUCUCUCUCUCUCUUCUAUUUUUUCCCCAAGCUGAGGAAAUACAGGGGAGGGAGGGAAGAUAUCUUUCCAUAUUCCAUCCUAGGGAAGCUUGCCGAAGAGUCUGUCCUGUCGGCUGCUGGCUGGAGGCCCGUCCCCAGCCUCGGAAGCCACGUCCACAGAGAGCCUUGGGCCGACUGGGUCCCGGGGCCCUCCGCCACGGCCCUGGGCAUGCAGGCAGCCCGACCCUGCCUUGGAAUGUUCCUUCCAGAACAUAGCAUCUUCUUGGCUCCAGAAACCCCCCUCUGCUGGGAAGCAGCCGAUUUUCUCUUCCCAGCCUGCCCCACCCCCACCCCCUUUGAUUACUUUUAAUAACUACGCAGGAAGUGCCUUUCCCUCCAGUAAAGACAGUCAUCGCAUUCUUCAGCUUUGCUCCUGACGUUUUCUUCAAAUCCCCAAGUGCCUUGACACAGGCGCGUGAAUCACCGUUUAGAGGAGGCGAGAACUCUGGCUCUAGAUUAGAUGAGACUAAAGUUCGGAUGCAGGGCUGAGCAUUGGACUGGCCGUGUGGACCUGGGCAAGUUCCGUAACCUCUCUGAGGCUCCUUCAGUUCCUUCUCCGCAGAAGGGAAGAUUUUGGUCCCAGCAAGCCUGUGCGAGCAAGGCCUGUUCCUCGCCUGGGGGCACACGGUGGGCCCAGGGCUAACUGCCUCCCUCCAGGUACCACCUCUUUGGAUGGUGGCUCGACAGAAAGGGUGGUGAACUCGAUGUGAGAAGGUGGGCAGGAAAUGACAGGUCAAAGUCUCGAAGCCGUUUCCCAUCGGAAAGGUAUUUCGAAAGUAGUUCCGUGAUCUCGGCAGCACUGCCCUAAGGACCUGGGGCUACAAGGCACGUUCCAGAACUUCUCUCUCAUUUUUGAAGGGCGCUAAGGGACAGGCUUGAGUCUCUGGGGGCAGGCGGCCUUGCCAGGCAGUGAAUGGUUCCUUCCUCUGUAGCCCGUGCAUUAGAACAUCUGCUGACACAGCCAGAGCUUUCUAGCUCCGGGCUUUGGGACUAGUCUCUGUGCCUUAGCGUUCUCAUCGGAAAAAUGGUGAUAGACACACACCCCUCGCCUCACACAAUUAUUGUGCGGCUUAGAUGCAGGAACGGGAGCACAGGCUCAGAACGAUGCUUGUGGUGCGAAGUGCUUGCUAGCUGCCCUGCCUGGUCACGGAGCUUCCCCUCUGUGUGUAGACAUAGGCACACGCGUGCAAGCCCGGUUAUUCCCAUCUGUUUCCCCAUCAGAAAGUGAAUGCUUGCAGCACAUAUGAUCUCUGUGGGGCAUGGACCAAUGUGACAGCUGCAUUCCUUGGUCCGUCCUGGGGAGAAGGGGUUCAAAAUGGGAGCUGAAGAAUCCCUGUGCCAAAGUGGUCUGGUGGAGUUUAUGAAAAAUACUAUCUCCCGGACUCCACCCCAGAACCAGCGAAUCAGAGGCUGAGUAUCUGCUGGGGUCCCUGUCGGGGCUUUUCUUUCUAGUCUCAAUGCAGCAGAGGCAGCAGAGCAGCAGACCCGUGCAGCAGGGCUUCACGGCCCACUCUCCUUGUCUCCCGUGCAGCCAGGCCAUUUCGGGGUGGGGUUGGGGAGGUGCUCCCGUGGUGCAGUCGGUUUGCGUGCGGGGCUUAGACGAGUGGGGACGGGGAAGACGUGGUUCAGUGAACACGGAGCCUCGGCUUGACCUCGGUGGUUGGCUCUUGGAAAUGCAGAGAAGAUUGCAUUGCUUUCUGUGGCACAGUUUCCUUCCUGCUCACUCGCCCAAGGAGUUGAUUCCAGCUGCUGGCUGAUUCCAGCUGUUUGACUCACUGCUGUUUGCUCUCAUUCUGCGUUGAGUGAAGGAGAGUGUUCCACGGCCAGAAGCCAUGUGUGUUCUCAGGCUGCCGUUCCUGGGCGAGGUGGGUGUUCACUGCCCUUGCGAAGGCCUUCCAUACCUAAGAUGCGCCCAAGUGCUCCCCAGCAGGGUCCCUUUGUUGGGUGUUCCAGGUUGUCGCCACCUCUCCUCUGUGCCUGUGCUCCCGUGGCAGUGGCACAGGGCUUAGUACAGCCCAAAGAGCCUAGGUUCAAAUCCUGGUGGGUCCCUUAGCUCCGUAACUUUCCUCCGUAAGUAACAUCAUUACAGAUACUGUCCCUUUUCUCUCCAUAAAAUGACUUGAUGAAUUGAUUUCAUGAAUGAUCCGGCCCUUCACCUAUUCCGUGUAUUUCUGAUGCUGAACCUGAUGACGGCGGGGUGUUAACAGGCAGACUUCAGGGAGAGCUUGGGAAAAGUGUUUGCAUUUGUGCUGUUGGACCUCUGCCAUCACCAUGGGAAGGGCCUUUCUAGACUGGCCUUCUGCUUCCACAAGAAGGAGAGACAUCUCGAGUAUAACCAAGGUGCUCUAAUCCUCCUAGUUGAGACCCGCCUAGACCUGCUGACAGCCAGUCAACUCCCAGACCCCUGAGUGAGCCCAGCCAAGAUCAUCAGAGCUCCCUGCCCAACCACCCAGGUGUGUGGACAUGGAACGCUUAGUGCUUAUGCCACUGAGGUGUUUUGUUGUUGUUGUUGUUGUUUUGGUUAUUUUGCCUUCAAUGAUCAGAGCUCGUUAUUUCACAUAACCGAGCUGUGGAGGUGGGAUGGGUCCAGGUUCGGUUAAUUUCGGCUCCACGGUGUUGCCAAAGACCACGGUUUCUCCUCCCUUGCCGUCUGCUCUCCUAGGCGGGUUUCUUUUCUUCCUACACUCCUUAGAGUGCCCACUAUCAUCUCAUCACCCUGGGGUCACUCAUGUGGCUACAGCGACCUGGUGGCUUCAUCAGGCCUGAGUGGUCUCACAUACCAGUGCAGGGUUUCACGCUGGUUGUCUUCUGAGCUCCCAUCUCCAGGUGAGUCCAGGUUUCUUCACCCGGCAGUUGCAGAUUUCCAAGAGGGUGAGAGCAAAAGCGGCCAGAUAUCUUCCCGACUAGACCUUGAAGUCACACCACGUUCCUUCUGUGGCCACGCAAGUGACAAGGCCCCCUCAGGUUCCAAGAGCUCUGCUUGUUAAUGGGACUAGCAUGUUGAUGUGGCCUCUUCUUUGUCUUCUGGAGUAGAGCAUCUUUUUGGAAAGUUUCCAGUCCACUUGGUUGAAGGUUCUUCAGCAUUUGGUUGUAAUGUUGUUGUUUUUAUGAGAGAAGCUAUUCGUCCAUCUUAACCCCGUCUCCCGUUGAGGUUUUGUGGUCAGGCAGUGUCUUUUGGUGAUAGAUAUAAUGGGAAGUCGAUAAUGGCUAUUAGAGGACUUGAAUUCUGCCAGGGUAGGGGUUGCCUAGGACCACGUGCAUUACAUGAUACGUCACCUCCUUGUUGAAUGAUUGAAUGAUACGAUAAGGAUAAAUCAGGUAACCCUUCCGUGUACGUGAUCUGCAUCCUGCCUGUUGCCUCUCCUCAGGGCAUCCGUAAUUGGCCGGGACCGCUGCCAUUUCCCCAUUUGCUUGAUUUUCAAUAAGAGCAGAGAUGCCGUUAGUGGAUGUGCAUGGAGCAAGGGAGAGAGAGAGAGAGAGAGAGAGAGAGAGAGAGUGUGUGUGUGUGUGUGUGUGUUGGGAAGUGAAGUAGCCAAGGUCCUAGUUUUAAGAAGCUAAAGGGUGAGUGUUUUGAUCCACUGGAUACUUUGGGCUCCCGGCCCCCAAGCGAGCCAGUUGUAUUCCUCGGGGGAAGGUGACUGACACAGAUGGCAGCCUUAGAACUUAGCUUGGAUGAGCGAGAGAAAUAGCAGCCCCUAGACGUGGGGCACGUAUUCCCUACCAGCCACUCUUUGGCCAUUCUUAUUUGAUUCUCAAGACAAGCUCUCCAGGAAGGAAUCUCCCUUCCCAUUUUAAAGAUGAAGAAACUCCGUUCAAAGACCAGGGCCACACAGCUAAGACAGUAGCAGCAUGAGCGUUCACAAAAGUCCAGGGCUCUCUGACAGCAGGAUGGCCUCUUAAACCCCAUCACGCUCUGUAGGCAUCUUAGCCAGCAUCCAGGCUAAAUCCUUUGAUGUCUCUCUCAGGAAAUCCCACCUGGAGAAGGGGCGUGGCUUGGCCAAGCUUAAGCUUUGUGAGAGGUUACCUGAUACCCCUUUCGGGGGCCCCAGGUGUGUCCCAUUGAGAUCUCACUGAUCAGCGGGCAGCCCCCAGAAGUGCCUUGCUGAGUUUCCUGCGAAGGCGUUGCCAGGUUCCUGGGCUCCACAUCAGUUCCUUUAAAUACACAUCCUAGAGCAGCAGAGCCGCUGCAUGUGUGCUGUCUCCACCCCGCUGAGGAGCUGCCGAGAGGAACCCCCAUCCUGGCACAGACUUGCCCGCCCUGCUUGCCUGCCAGCUUGGAGAGUGAGAGCGGGGCCUGUGCCAGGGAGGUCACGGGCCUCGUCUCCGGCUAGCGCUGGCUGGGCAGGAGGCGGAGGGAGCUGCAGGCAGAGGCCCUGCUUGGCCCACGGCCCCAGGCACCUGCCAUCCUUGUGUGUUUGCUCAGCGAGUUGCGGGGAGGAAGCAGGAUGCUUUCCGUUGGGCUCUGGGCGUUCCGGGCCCCGGGGGCCAGCUGCUGGGGCUGGCAGCCUCUGCGAAGAGCUGUCUCUGGCCCUCUCUCUACCUCCCUCUCCGAGCUACCUAUCAGGCAGGUAAUAAUCCCACCAGUACCCAGUGUCACCUGUGGGGUGACAGCAGGAGGCCCGGGGAUGUGCAAGGAGCAAACACGGGUAAGGUACCUGGAAGCUUCAGGCACCUUCAGCCCCAGAGGAAGAGAACCCUAACCCCGCGCGCCCCACUUCAGCAACACCCUGGGCCCCUCCAAGUGGCCUGCCUCGCCCCGGUCCCAACCUAGUCAUGCCAUGUCAGCAAGCGUUUGCUGGAGUUCUGGCAAGAGCCUCCGGUGACACGUGGCUGGCUUUGAUGAGACAGGAGGAGCAGUAUUUAAUCUGGACAUUAAAGUCAUCCAGAGUGUCCACCUCUCCCUUUCUGGUGACCCAUGCGAGGGAUUGGUUCCGAGGCCACGUCGUGCACCAGGGCUUCUGCCUGGAUAAGACAGAGCAUUGUAGCAAGCAGCACGCUGAGAGCUGGAUGGUUUGCGAAGCACUUUCUCUAAUACUUUAGCUCCUGCACCCUGUGAAUGAAGCGUAUCAAUAGCCCCAUUUUACAGGUGAGGUAACUGAGGCCAAGAGUGCUUAGGGAACUUGCUCAGUGCCUUACAGGUAGAAGAAGCAUCAGAGCAGAGACUGGAAGCUAGGGCUUUUCUCUAAAAAGCCAGACUUUGGGAGUUCCCAUUGUGGCUCAGUGACCAGUCACCAUGAGGAUGUGGGUUCGAUCCCUGGCCUCGCUCAGUGGGCUGAGAGGAUCCGGCAUUGCCGUGAGCUGUGGCGUAGGUCACAGCUGCAGCUCACAUCCUGGGUUGCUGUGGCUGUGGUGUAGGCCUGCAGCUGCAGCUCUGGUUCAACCCCUAGCCUUAGAACUUCCAUAGGCUGCACAUGCAGCCCUAGAAAGCUACG
ensembl:lncRNA